rnacentral:rRNA from 1 species
UACGUAGGGGGCAAGCGUUGUCCGGAUUUAUUGGGCGUAAAGAGCUCGUAGGCGGUUGGGCAAGUCACGUGUGAAAUCUCCACGCUCAACGUGGAGGCGCCACGUGAGACUGCCCUGACUCGAGUCCGGUAGGGGAGCGUGGAAUUCCCGGUGUAGCGGUGAAAUGCGCAGAGAUCGGGAGGAACACCCGUAGCGAAGGCGGCGCUCUGGUCUGUAACUGACGCUGAGGCGCGAAAGCUAGGGGAGCAAACGGG